GACACUGGGCUUCUGGAAGAGUGAGUUUUAAAAUAUAGCUGCUGGAUCCUCUCAAAUCUUCUCAGAGGAGCCUUGGGAGUCUGGGCUUUCCCGCGAGGUGAAUGUACAGAGUAUGAGCAGAAGGGGAGCAUGGGCGCCAGACAGACUGGGGUGAGGCCGAAAAGCAUGUGUCUUUCUGUGAGUUAACUCCUUUGGAACCAGGCUUAGAAGCAGGAAGUGGAGAGUGGAGUAAAAAGCCAAUAGGGGCCUCCUGUUUGAGGAACUAGGCGUAGACAAUGUGAGGAAUGUGCGUUGGACUCGACGACAGGAAAUGCCUGCCCUGAAGAGAAGCACGGAGCGAUGUAGCUGUGUGGCCCCAGAGCCAGGGCCAGACACUUGGGGUGUGACUUUGGCUUGGUAGUUAGGUCUUUUUUUUUUUUUUUUUUUUUUUUAUUUGAGGCAGAGUCUUACUCUGUUGCCCAGGCUGGAGUGCAGUGGCAUGAUCUCGGCUCCCUGCAAUCUCCACCUCCCGGGUUCAAGCGAUUCUCGUGUCUCAGCCUCCCCAGUAGCUGGGAUUACAGGCUCCCACCGCCACACCAAGCUAAUUUUUUUUUUAAUUAUUUUUUAGUAGAGACGGGGUUUCGCCAUGUUGGCCAGGCUGGUCUCGCACUCCUGACCUCAAGUGAUCCGCCUGCCUUGGCCUCCCAAAGUGCUGGGAUUACAGACGUGAAGCCACUGCGCCCGGCUGGUUGCUGGCAGAGGUGGUUGGGGCUAUGUGCCUGGAGUGAAGAUUCUGCCCAUUGGUCAAGAGACCUCCCUCUCAGAUGCUGGCUCUGCCCCUGCCUUUGGGGGUCGACCCUUGUACUCGCAGGACCUUAGGUGACUCUGACUUUGUCAAAGGAAAAAUUUCUGCAUGUGCACACACAGAUCUUGGAAGUUUAUUCAUCUCAGCAGAGGCAGACAGGAGCAUCAACAGCCUUGGGGACAGCAGCAGUGGUGGUGGAGUCUGACUCUGUCGCCCAGGCUGAAGUGCAGUGGCACAAUCUCGGCUCACUGCAACCUCCGCCUCCCGGGUCCAAGCCAUUCUUGUGCCUUAGCCUCCUGAGUAGCUGGGAUUGAAGGUGUGCACCACUACACCCUGCUAAUUUUGGAAUUUUUAUUAGGUUGGUGCAAAAGUAAUUGUGAUUUUGCCAUUACUUUGGCAAAAACCACAACUACUUUUGCACCAACCUAAUAUUAUAGAUGGGGUUUCACCAUGUUGCCCAGGCUGGUCUCAAACUCCUGACCUCAAGCAAUCCACCCACUUCGGCCUCCCAAAGUGCUGGGAUUACAGGCGUGAGCCACUUUUUUUUCCCACAUUAUUUUCUGUACUUUAAAAUAACACAACUGAUAACAUCAUGUAUAUUCAAUUUUAUGCCUCCUUUUUUUCACUGAAUAUUAUAACACAAGACAUUCCCCAUAUCAAGAGCUCCGCACAAAGAUGCUUUUAAGUUGCUGCUUAACACUCUAUUCUGAGGAUAUGCCAGACAUGAUCUAAUCAUUCUCAUAUUAAUCAUUUUGACAGUUUACUAUUUUUGCUGUUAUACUUAAAACUGCAGUGAAUAUCAUUGUAUAUAAAGACUCCUACUUUAGAUUCCUAGAAAUUCAAUUCUGAGCCAAAAGUAUGAACUUUUUAGUGAGAAUUUUUUCACCAGAUUAUGAGGAUUAUGUUGGCUUGCUGUAACAAUUUGGCUCUAUUUUGAUUAUUUUUAUUUAGCUUGUAUUUAGGGAAGCCAAUUUUUAGUCUCUAAAAUAGGGGUCUGUCCAUAAUGACAUCAGUCAGAGACUAUUGGAGUUGCUAGACAUGUAGGCUCUUCUCUUUUUUUGAGAAGGAGUUUUGCUCUUGUUGCCCAG
rnacentral:lncRNA from 10 species